UUCUUACCCUACUAAAC
rnacentral:tRNA from 4 species